rnacentral:hammerhead_ribozyme from 1 species
AUCCAUCUGACAAGUCCAAAAUAGGACGAAACGUGAGUCCUGGAU